GAUUCUUCCCAAUUCUACCGCCACCAUUCUGGUUCAAGCUACCUGAUGUCACCACCGUUCAAUGCAGAAAUGAUGGGCAAUCACCAAAGCUCAACUUACUAAAGCAAUUAUACUGGCUAACUUAUCCAGUAGAGACGGGGUUUCACCAUGUUAGCCAGGAUGGUCUCGAUCUUCUGACCUCGUGAUCCGUCCGCCUCAGCCUUCCAAAGUUCUGGGAUUACAGACGUGAGCCACCGCGCCCGGCCAAAAGAUCCAUAAACUUUGAGUCACCAGAUAGAGCUAACAUUUACCACAGAGGCAUGUAAAGAAAACGAUUCUAGCAGAGUAACUAUAAUACAAAAGAACAAUAUUCCAAUUAUGUUCCUAUGUUCUAUCCAGGAAGGUUUAAGAGGAGCCUUUUAAACUGAACUAUAUUCUAAGAGGUGGGAAAAAGUUUUCUUUUGUUUUUCUUAUUAACCGUACCUUGAAAGCCCCAAAUAAAUGUUCCUUGGUUUAGAUGCCCUGGUAGAUGACCAAAAAA
rnacentral:lncRNA from 1 species